rnacentral:rRNA from 1 species
AGUCGAGCGGAACGAUGAUAGCUUGCUAUCAGGCGUCGAGCGGCGGACGGGUGAGUAACGCGUAGGAAUCUGCCUAGUAGUGGGGGACAACAUGUGGAAACGCAUGCUAAUACCGCAUACGCCCUACGGGGGAAAGGAGGGGAUCUUCGGACCUUUCGCUAUUAGAUGAGCCUGCGUGAGAUUAGCUAGUUGGUGAGGUAAAGGCUCACCAAGGCGACGAUCUCUAGCUGGUCUGAGAGGAUGAUCAGCCACACUGGGACUGAGACACGGCCCAGACUCCUACGGGAGGCAGCAGUGGGGAAUAUUGGACAAUGGGCGCAAGCCUGAUCCAGCCAUGCCGCGUGUGUGAAGAAGGCCUUAGGGUUGUAAAGCACUUUCAGGAGUGAGGAAGGGUGUACGGUUAAUACCCGUAUAUUUUGACGUUAGCUCCAGAAGAAGCACCGGCUAACUCUGUGCCAGCAGCCGCGGUAAUACAGAGGGUGCAAGCGUUAAUCGGAAUUACUGGGCGUAAAGC